UACGGAGGGUGCGAGCGUUAUCCGGAAUUACUGGGUUUAAAGGGUGCGUAGGCGGGUUGUUAAGUCAGUGGUGAAAGACUAUCGCUCAACGAUAGAAUUGCCGUUGAUACUGAUGAUCUUGAAUUGGGUUGAGGUUAGCGGAAUGUGACAUGUAGCGGUGAAAUGCAUAGAUAUGUCAUGGAACACCAAUUGCGAAGGCAGCUAACUGGGCCUUGAUUGACGCUGAGGCACGAAAGCGUGGGUAGCGAACAGG
rnacentral:rRNA from 1 species